UACGUAGGGGUCUAGCGUUGUCCGGAAUCAUUGGGCGUAAAGAGCGUGUAGGCGGCUCGGUAAGUCCGCUGUGAAAGUCCAGGGCUCAACCCUGGAAUGCCAGUGGAAACUGUCGAGCUAGAGUCCUGAAGAGGCGAGUGGAAUUCCUGGUGUAGCGGUGAAAUGCGCAGAUAUCAGGAGGAACACCAAUGGCGAAGGCAGCUCGCUGGGACGGUACUGACACUGAGACGCGAAAGCGUGGGGAGCAAACGGG
rnacentral:rRNA from 1 species